ensembl:lncRNA
AAAAAAAAAAAUCUAAUAAAUAGUUGGAACCUGAAAGAGAGCUGGCCAAUGAAACGCCGCGUUGGGGCAUUACCGCAUCGGGGAGGCCGCCCAUUGGCUGGCGUGCCCUGAGGCGAUGACUGCGUUUCCCCAGCACCGCCCCGCGCAGGUGCCCACGCCUCCCAGGCUUUGGGGGAGUACCCGGGAAGCGUCGGGGGGUCGCGUGCCCUUGGCCGCAGGCCUGGUCGCCCCCCAGCCCUGCCAUCUUCGGCUUGACCGUUGCUGCCCGCGCGCCUGUAGCGGAGCGAGCCUGCCUCCAGGGCAGCCUCACUGCCUGGAUCCUGGGCGGGAGACCUCCCAGCCAGGUGGGGGGAGUAGAGAAGGCCACUGUGAUGAAGGGCCUCCAGUGCCAGGACCAAUGGCAGACGUUAGGAACAGUGGACUGACCUGCUUUCCAAUGCUUGCUGAAGACUCAUCUGGCAGCAAGAGGGAUGGCUCACAGAAGGACAGGCAGCCCAUAGGCUUAGCAGCACUCUAUGAUGCCCAUCCAAGAGGACAGGAAUUGGACUCACUUUGGGUAGCCUUGUACAAUGCAACCCAGCACCCAGCAACAUCCUAAAGAGCCUGUUGACUGCUCUGGACCAAGUGGAGCAGAGCCCUUCCUCCCUUCACUGGAAGGUGGUGGGCAAGAAGCAUCGGUGCUUCUGGUAUUUGGCUCAGUGAGACCCAGGUAUUGCAGAUCUGCCAUCAAAAAUAUUUGAAAAGCCAUAUGUGCCACUAUUAUCCUUCUGCUCCUUUUAAAACCUAACAGGCAGGCCCAACUUGGAGACUUCCAAGAAUGAAACACCACCCUCAGAAAACGUGCUAAUUGAUAGAAGAGUCUGGUUCUACUACGUGAUGCAUUCCACACCUCCUGGGCUUCCCUCUCUAGCUCUUUAGCCUAGUCUCUCUCAAGCUAUGAUAAGAAAGGCACUGAUUAUUUCAAAAUGGUGCAAAUCACCUGCUGUUUAAAAAACAAGUUAAAUUCCCCAAACAUGAAAAAAAUAAAGUUGUCAAAGACACUGGAAUGAAAUUUCUGAAGAACCAGCCUUUUCCCACUGUGUCUCUCCAUGAAAAGGAAAAGCUAGGCAAGCUUGUUGAAAUGAUCAGCUUCCUGUGUUCAGCCUGGGUAUAGGGUAGCAGGAAACUGCACCCUAAUUCUGCACGGACUUUUGUUACUGCCCAAGCACAUGGCUCUUGCAUGAAUAAGUCCUUCCUGAGUACUGGUUACUGACCCUCCUCCACACUUGGUUUGCAGAGGGUAUUUCCAGAGUUAGAAGGUCUUCCAGAAUUUCAGAAAAACAGCACCAGAUACUCAAAAAACCAUGGUUUUUCUAAAAUAAUUAAUGGGUUGUCUGUCAGUCAACAUUUGGACAAGCUGAGUCUAAGGCUGGCCCUGUAGCUCAGGGGUUGGGUUUCUGCAGUGCCUGUUCUCUAGUUCCUUUUUGUAUUGUUCAUCUUUUUAAAUAAACUUUGGGCACAGGUUCAGCUAGUGAGAGGCAGGAUAACGGAAUGGUUAAACACAUGGCCUCUGAAGCCAGGCUAUCAUAUUGGGACCUGACUGUCACACCAUCUCUGUGACUUAACUUCUCUAGGACUGAGCGUGCUCACCUGUAAAAUGGAUCACAAUAGGGCCAACAUCACGGAGACGUUGAUGAGCUAAAUUAGCUAAGUGAAAAGCAGUUAGAACAGCGCCUGACCCAUCAUGUGUCCAAUGUGUUAGCUCUUCUUAAUAGGGGUGCUCUACUACAAUUACUGAAAAGGGCUUUAUUGUGGCAGCUCAUAUGAAGAAUUUAGAGGUCUAUACCUAUGGUGGAUUCCCAGUCUUUUGGCCGACUCCUGGGAUACGUCAUGGAAGAUGAAUGUGGGAGCAUCUGAAUUCCUCUUUCUCUAAUCACUCAGGUUGGCUACUUCAUUUUUGAGUAGCCCCUUCAAACACAUACAUUUUUUCCGCCAUUAUGUCUGUUAUUGUUCCUGGUGAUGAGGAGUGUGUUUUAGGCUCAGCUGCAUGGUUGCCCUAUCUAUUAAUAUAUCUUUUCUCCAUUGCCAGGGCAGGAAGCCUGAAAACUACGCUUCCCAGACUCCUUUGCCUACUGAUUCCUGUUAGCUUCUGCCAAUGGGAGGCUCUGGCAGGAGAUUGGAAGGUGGGAGGAAAGUUGAAGCAAGGUUUCUCCCUUCAGCUUCUGGGGGUGUCUCCAGCUAUGCAAAGGGCAGCAUAGUGUCAUAAUGGUCCUGUUGUGGUUUUCAUUUUCCCAUUUACUUGUGUUUGAGUAACAUUACUUCUCUUUAUGACUCUUCUCCUGUUUGUAUACUUACUGCUAUUUUCCUAAACCAUUUCUUGAUUGACAGGAAUCAUUGUUUAAAGACUUUAGAUGCUCAAAUAAUUUUGCUAUUUGCUAUACAAAAUGACUUAAAUCUCUAAACUCCUUGUUUUAAAAAAUCUUAAAGGUUGGGUGCAGUGUGGCUCACUCCUGUAAUCCCAGCCCUUUGGGAGGCUGAGGCAGGAGGAUCACUUGAGACCAGGAGUUCAAGACCUGCCUGGGCAACAUAGGCAGACCCCUGUCUCUACAAAAAAAAAUUAAAAAUGAGCUAAAUGUGGUGGUGCACAUCUGUAAUCCCAGCUACUUGGGAAGCUGAGGUGGGAGAAUCACUUAAAUCCAGGAGAUGGAGGUUGUAGUGAGCUGAGAUCAUGCCACUGCACUGCAGCCUGGGUGACAGAGCAAGACUCUAUCUCGAAAAACGACGACGACAACAACAAAAAACUUACAAACAAAACCUAUCAAAACUCACGUGAACACACAUGGACAAGUGAACAAACAUUACAGAUUAAAAUGAAAGAAUAUGCCAGACACACUUUAUUAGUUAUCUGUUGCUGUAUAACAAAUUAUCCUUAGACAGUGGCUUAAACAGCAAUGAUUUAUUAUUUCUCAUGGUUUCCUGGGUAAAUAAUUUCAGAACAGCUUGGCUGGAUGGUCUUGGCUCAGGGUGUCCAUGAAAUUACAGUUAGAUAUCAGCUGGGGCUGCAACUGUUCAAAGUUUUGACUGGGGUUGGAGGAUCUAGUUUUCAAAAUGGCUCACUCAUGAGGCUGGGAAGUCAGUGCCGGCUGUCAGCAGGAGGUCUCAGUUCCUUUCUACGUGGGCUUCUCCACAAGGCUGCUUAAGUGCCUCAUGGCAUGGCUGCUGGCUUCCCCCAAAGAAAGUAAUCUGAGGGACUAAGGAGGAAACUGCAAUACCUUUUAUGACUUAUCCUUGGAAGUCAAAUGUCAUUACUUUAUUCAUAGUCAAUUGGAUACACAAAGCCAGCCCUGAUUCAUUGUGCAAACUGACUACACACAGGCACAUAUACCAGGAGUCAAGUUCACUGGAGGCCCUUUUGGAGGCUGGAUCCCAUGUGCAUAGUCACUGUGUAUGCAUUAGGUGAUAAGCGCAUAGUCUGAGUGAAGAUGAGACAUGGAAAACUCUCCUCUUCAAACAAGGGGUCAGGAAAAUUAUAGAUUUCAAUAGUUCCUCGAAUGAGAUAGAAGGAAUGAAAGAAGGAACAUGAGUCCUUCAGGUUUCCCUGUAGCCUAUGAGAAAAUAAAACAAGCUGAUGAAAUGUUGAGCUAGUUGUUCCGAAAGGCAUGAAUAGGACGUAGUCAGUUGCUUCUUUUCUCUUUCCCUUUUGUUUUAGCCAUCACUUUUUCAUUCUUUCUUAUCUGCAUUGCUAUGGAUGUGUCUGUUCCUUUGUUUCUAACCAUUGGUAGGUACUCCAUGACAUGCAGCCAACAAUUUUAUGCCUCUACUCACCAGUAAUACACACCCAUGCUGCCGAGGGGGAGUUUCUGAGGGAGAAAAGGCAUUAGCAAGAAGUGGCCCAGAGAAGUGUUGGCAUUAGCAACACCUUUAUUUAUUUAAAAUUAGAACAUGCAACUACAUAUGUGUGAGGCGGUAAGGACUGGAAAUGUUCUUUACUCAGUAAUCAUCUGUGCCAGGCACAGUGCCAGAUACUGUGGGAGGUUCAAAGAUGGGUGAGACAUAGUCCCUGACCUCAAGGAA